AAUAAACCAAAAUCAAACCAUAAUUCAACCAUAUUGUAUGGACAAAGAUCUCCCCCCCCCCCCAGCCCUAUAUGGCAGACAUCAGCAAUAGGAGCAACAGCAGCAGACACUGGGUCAGAACCCAUUGGGUCAGAACCCAUUGGGCCGGCACCCAUUGGGUUGGCACCCAUUGGGUUGGCACCCAUUGGGUCAGCGCCUAUUGUGCUGGCACCCAUUGGGUUGGCACCCAUUGAAUCAGAACCCAUUGGAUCAGCACCCAUUGGGUCAGAACCCAUUGGGUCAGAACCCAUCAGGCCAGCACCUAUUGGGCUAGCACCCAUUAGAUCAGCACCCAUUGGGCCAGCACCCAUUGGGCCAGCACCCAUUGGGUCAGCACCCAUCAGGUCAACACCCAUUGGGUCAGAACCCACUGGGUCAGAACUCAUCAGGUCAACACCCAUCGGGCCAGCACCCAUUGGGCUGGCAUCCAUUGAGCCAGAACCCAUUAGAUCAGCACCCAUUGGGCCAGCACCCAUUGAGUCAGCAGCCACUGGGACAGAACCCAUUGGGCCAGCACCCAUCAGGUCAACACCCAUUGGGUCAGAACCCACUGGGUCAGAACUCAUCAGGCCAGCAACCAUUGGGCUGGCACCCAUUGGAUCAGAACCCUUUGGGCUGGCACCCAUUAGAUCAGCACCCAUCGGGCCAACACCCAUUGGGUCAGAACCCAUCAGGCCAGCAACCAUUGCGCUGGCACCCAUUGGAUCAGAACCCAUUGGGUUGGCACCCAUCAGGUCAGAACCCAUUAGGCCAGAACCCAGGUCAGCACCCAUAGGGCCAGUACCCAUUGGGUCAGCACCCAUCAGGUCAACAGCCAUUGGAUCAGAACCCACUGGGCCAGAACCCAUUGGGUCAGCACCCAUUGGAUCAGCACCCAUUGGGUCGGCACCCAUUGGGCCAGAACCCAUUAGAACAGAACCCAUUGGGUCAGAACCCAUUAGAACAGAACCCAUUGGGUCAGCACCCAUUAGAUCAGCACCCAUUGGGUCAGUACCCAUUGGGUCAGCACCCAUUGGGUCAGAACCCAUUGGAUCAGAACCCACUGGGCCAGAACCCAUGAGAUCAGCACCCAUUGGGCCAGAACCCAUUAGAUCAGAACCCAUUGGGUCAGAACCCAUUAGAACAGAACCCAUUGGGUCAGCACCCAUUAGAUCAGCACCCAUUGGGUCAGAACCCAUUAGAUAG
rnacentral:lncRNA from 1 species